rnacentral:rRNA from 1 species
UCUUUAAACCUAAAGAAUUUGGCGGUAUUUUAGUCUAUUUAGAGGAAUUUGUCCCGUGAUCGAUAUACCCCGUUGUAUCUUCCUUAUUUUUGUUAUCAGUUUGUAUAUCGCUGUUAUAAGUUUAUUUUUUUAGAAUUAUUAAUUUACUUAAUUUAUAAUAUUAAAUUAUUUCAAGUCAAGGUGCAGCUAAUAUUUAAGUGGUGAUGAAUUACAAUAUUUUAUAUUUGGAUUUUGAUUUUUAAAAUAUCGAUGAAAUUGGAUUUAAUAGUAAUUUUUUUAAUAAUAUUAAUUUGAUAUUAGCUCUAAAAUAAGUACACAUCGCCCGAUCGCUCUA